CUUCACUUGGACGGCGCCCCCCACCACGCUGGUUCGUCGGGACACUGCAUGCUCUAGAUAUGGGAGCCAUUGUUGCCUAGAAGCCGUCUGCGAUCACCAGAAAACGACCAGGGACUGCCAGUGAGGCCGUCGGCACCAUGUCUUUGGGAUACCGUCGGAGCGGUGGUUCGUGGAAAAGGAGUAAUGCGGUGGUGCUCUGCCUGUUGCCGGCUUGCUGAUGCUGGACGACGAUUGCAUCGAUUGGAACGAGUAAAUUUCCCUACCCCGUCUUCUCACAGCAAUGAGCCUGUUCUUCACUUCGUACAAGAGAGAUGCAAUUGGUGGAAGACAUUGCUGGAGAGUUGGCACUCCCUUUUAAUAAGCCAAUGAAACGGAAUAUAUGUGGUGUGCCUCAAAAUAAAAAUGAUCUUCUGAAGAAGAGUAUAUUUAAUGAUGUGGGUAGUUGUCUGCUGUCUGUGUACGGACGACUCCUUGCACUCCAGCGGUUGGAUCCAAGACCCCUGGUAGAUUUUCAUUCGGGUCACCAUCAUCAGCGAGACAGUCUGUGUGCCUGUUUGUGCUCUGUGGUAUUGAGAAUUGAGGACGACUUAUGUGGUUGUUCCUGCAAUUGAGGGAAAAUAUUCCAUGUUCAAGCCAAAAAAUUUGAGCAGACGCGCAGAGGUGACACACAUGAGUAGAUAGAAUGCUAAUGUGGAGAGAUUACAUAACUCAGGUAAUUUAGUUUUUCCAGAUAGCGAUCAGGUCGUUCUUUAGUGUUCUCAUAUGGAUUCUAUUUUUUUGUAAUCUCAACUAACUUCUUCAUCAUAUUCAAAAUUUUGGGUUGCUGUUAAAUGACAGCAGACACAUUUUCUACUUGGCAGGGAACAAUAAUACUAUUUAUGGUUUUUGAUCAAGCCUUCAGUUCAUGCAUUGGCUGAGCCGCUAAUUUGUUAUUAGUUUCGUGGUUGCUUUUUUAUUGGUAGUUUUCAGUUAGCAAAUGCAUUUCAAUUCAGACUUGAUUGGUAUGCGUAAUUUAGUCGGUUUCAUGGUUUGGUGCGAUUGUUUGUUUCAUCCCACCGUUUGAUGAUUGAUAUAUAUGCUCCCAUUUUGGACAUAUGCAUGUCAUUCGGCUCCAUCUAUGCCCAUGUUCUAGCUAUAGUAUGCAUGGUUGCUGUGAUUUCAGCUUCAUAUGAACUAAAUUCUGCAUGGAGCAGGGGUGAUGACGCACCUAAGCAUUUUCAUAGGGAUGAUUGAAUUUCAUCUUGAAGCAAUAAAGCAGUUUUUUAUAUCAAAUUCAAUGACCGUAGAGAUGUCAGUAUUUUUAUUAUUUGCAUAAUUCGUGGAUACAGAAUUACUCUGAUAUCCCGUUUCUGUUAUAAGUGUGUUUGAAGGUUUAAUAGUGUUCGUUCAUUGUUAUCAGCUCUAUUGAUAGUGUAAAAUUAAGGAUUACCCAUUAAUGCAUACCAUGUUCUUUGAUUAACUCAUUGAACCAGCCAUGCCUGUUUGCAGAACAUGCUAGCUGUACACACACCUGUACUUCCUCACUUCAAUUUUCAGAGCGAGUUUUCCUACAUUUACAUGGUUUGGACUUUUCAGUUAAUUUAUCGAGUAAUGCUUCUUCAGUGAUGUUUUUUAGAGUCUCGAGUAACCCAUCAACCUGAUAUCUCAAUAAGAGACAAGUUUUUUUUUUUAUUCACAACCGGAAUUGAAGAAAUUGAAAGGGCUUGGAGCUGAUGGUUUGUUCAUGAAGAAGUAUUUGAAUGACCUCCGAUGAAGCUCCCAAACUGAGUCGUCUCUACUGUUUUAGCAUCACAACCAACUCCAAUAAGAAAAAGGAGGCGAGGAAUGUGCCAACAUACACUCUCGGGUGAUGCCUAAAUGUAUUCUGAAAAAUAAAAUUCAGGUUUGUGAUAUAAGAUUCGUGGCACGAAUCACUUUACUUUCGCAGUACUGUUUCCUGAGCUGACAAAUUGAUCUUAGAACCUGCAAGUCCCCGAUGCUUCUGUCAUAUAUCUGUAAGCCAAUAUUUAUAUAUA